UCCCUGGUGGUUCAGAGGUAAAAGCAUCUGCCUGCAAUGCAGGAGACCUGGGUUCGAUCCCUGGGUUGGGAA
rfam:Ovis aries breed Texel chromosome 15, whole genome shotgun sequence.